rnacentral:rRNA from 1 species
GGUAAUGGCCCACCAAGCCGAUGAUCGGUACGGGUUGUGAGAGCAAGGGCCCGGAGAUGGAACUGAGACAAGGUUCCAGACCCUACGGGGUGCAGCAGGCGCGAAACCUCCGCAAUGUACGAAAGUGCGACGGGGGGAUCCCAAGUGUUAUGCUUUUUUGUAUGACUUUUCAUUAGUGUAAAAAGCUUUUAGAAUAAGAGCUGGGCAAGACCGGUGCCAGCCGCCGCGGUAACACCGGCAGCUCGAGUGGUAGCUGUUUUUAUUGGGCCUAAAGCGUUCGUAGCCGGUUUGAUAAGUCUUUGGUGAAAGCUUGUAGCUUAACUAUAAGAAUUGCUGGAGAUACUAUUAGACUUGAAGUCGGGAGAGGUUAGAGGUACUACCGGGGUAGGGGUGAAAUCCUAUAAUCCUGGGAGGACCACCUGUGGCGAAGGCGUCUAACUGGAACGAUCUUGACGGUGAGUAACGAAAGCCAGGGGCGCGAACCGGAUUAGAUACCCGGGUAGUCCUGGCCGUAAACGAUGUGGACUUGGUGUUGGAAUGGCUUUGAGUUGUUCCGGUGCCGAAGGGAAGCUGUUAAGUCCACCGCCUGGGAAGUACGGUCGCAAGACUGAAACUUAA